CCCCGAUGUGACUGCUCUCUCUCCCUAUCUUCUGGCCAUGCGGCACCGGCCCCAUCUUCCGCUCCGCCGCCAUGUCCGUGACGCACGCGUUCUCGUCAACGAAGCGGCUACUGGAUCCGCGCCGCCGCCGAAGACAAAGCCCCCACCUUGUUUAGAAUUUCCUUCAUUUGCCGUGUUCCACCCAUGAAGGAGGGGGCGUCGGCGGAGAAGGUCCUCAUGCAGCCGUGUGGUCGACCACUACGACGCGACCAUGUGGUGGGUACCCUCGGACGCCACACUGCCGGGCCGGAGGGAGUCCAGAUCCAGUACCUCACCAAAUUCGCCGCAGCACGGUGAGUGCACCUGCCUUGGGAAUCCCGUUACGCCCAUCUUCUCCCCCGAGUUGGAGCGUUGACGAUUGGCGAACCCUAGAUGUGCCUCUCCUCGUCCCCAAGUUCCCUGCUCUCGAUUCUCCAUUAUGCGACUCCGCUUAGUCUGACACUACAGCUUCUUCUCUGACUCUGCGGUUGUAGGUAAAGCACUGCCUUCCUGUCCUGUGCUUUCUCUUGUGCUCUUUGUGUCCAUGCCAUGGCCAUCAAGCCAUGCUAGGUUCUAUGUUGGACAUGGAAAUUUCUAGGAUUUGGGCAUGUGGUGAUGGUCUGCUAUGUCCCUGUUUCACUGGAUUUACUGAUCAAUGAAUGAAUCUAUCUAGCUGUGCCGUGAGACAUUUUAUCCAUGGAUGAUCGAUGGAAAUUUGCAGCAAGGACAGUUUUUUUCUGGCCUAUGAAAGAUCUGUCUCUACAGGAAGGAUGACUGAAGGUGCCAUGACAUGGAUUCUUGCAGGUAUCAUAACUCAGGAGGAUAGGGGACUCGGAGGCAACGACUGGCGGUUGUUCUAUUUACACCUAGAGUGGUUGACAGGCUAGGGAGCAGGCGAUUUUUCACUCGUACUUGGUCACCGAUGGAGAUGAGUUCAGGGGAAAUGUGGCUAGGAGUUUGUACAGGUCAUUUUUUUGUCCUCGCUAUGUUAUCCAUUUACACUGAUCAGUAACUGUUUUUUUAAGCAGGAAAUAGUGUAGCGUACACGAACAUAAAAAUUAUAGAAGGCAAGGAGGACAAUCUGAGCAAAAACAUUAUAUUUUUUUAGAAAACGACCAAUAUUAUGUUGAGUAUUGAGAUGUAGAGCCACCUUCACCGACAUCACGCGCACCUCUGUGACCUCCCACAAGCGACGCCCUGAGGUCACCCACACAAGCAGCCAUGAAAUUCCACGAUAUCACCCCGCUACUUCACCAACGACAUCAAGGCGGUCAUGGAUGAGAGCUACUGUCCUCCUUAGAGAGCUUGCCAGCACCCCAUGCAUACAAAGUUGACGAGUCCAAGAAGAAGAGCAAAGACACUAGCACGUGUGCUCAAGAAAAUACACCAGAUUGAACGAGUUGGUACCGAGCGGACAAAGCUAAAUAAGUUGGCAACAAAGAGCUGGGAGUAAGCUAGGAGCGGACAGACAGGGCACGAGGGAGAACCUGGGUGGGGAGCGGGCGGACCGUGGAUAGAAGAGAACAACACCAGAAACACCCUUUGUAAAGUUUUCUAGGGGUCGUUCUGAAACACAACAUGUUCAGUGAUACCAACCGCUUCGAGCUCCUUCAACCCGCAGCCAACACUUCUUCAGUUUCUCACCGCAGGAAGAGACAAGAUCAGAUCGCUCACCAAUGACGAAGACGUUAUGUGGUCGUUCACCAGUGAUGAAGAUGUGGUGUGGUCGUUUACCAGUGAUGAAGAGACAAGAUCAGAUCACUCACCAGUGAUGAAGAUGUUAUGUGGUCGUUGCUGUCGUGCUAAAUGUUGAUGUAGUGCCAAAUAAGAUGUGGUGCAAAAUUCUUGGGCUAGACAUUAUGGUACAAUGGAAAUUUGGUAGUCUUAGUUGCCUAUCAUACCCAUUUGUAGCCUAUAUCACACUGCAAAGUUCCAUGAACAAUUUGGUCCGCAAUAUUUUUCUGUUAUAUUGUUCCUGCCUAAGCAUGGAUUCCUUUCAACAUGGAAGUGUUUUUCACAUCUGUGACAAUCUUAAGUUGUAUAAGGUUGCCCCAGUAUGAUUUUGGAUGAUAUAUUAUGACACCGACAAGGAGGCUAUUGGUGCUCAUUCAAAUAGCAGCUAUCUGGAACGAUUGUAGGUAUUAAUCAAGAAGUCCUCAAUAGGUGGACUGGCUCAAAAUGAGAAGCAUGCUGGUAACUUGUUAGUUGAUUGUAUUAUGCAUUUAAGCGCGUAGCAAUUCACAAUGUUAAUAUCUUCUGGAUGCCUUGCAAUAUUUUAAAUAACUGUGUUUUUUCCGGCCUAAUGUGGUGUGCUAUCCGGAGGCGUCCUCACAUAUGGUCUGGGUUUUCUGAUAGCCAGACAUAUGGAGACAAUUUGGGUAUCUGACUCUCUCUCUCUCUUCCUCCGUUGCAAAUAGAAUAAUGAACAAUCAGUAAGACUAAUAUUAUAGACCUCAAUCCUACCGUGUAUUAGACUUUUGUGCCAAUAUUCUCUGGGCAAGUUUUAGCCUUGUAAUUCACAAUCGAUGAUGCAUGUUAUUCACCCUUUCACCCUUA